rnacentral:tRNA from 1 species
GCCCGCUUAGCUCAGUUGGUAGAGCAGCUGUCUUGUAAACAGCAGGUCGCAGGUUCGAGUCCUGUAGCGGGCU